UACAGAGGGUGCAAGCGUUGUUCGGAAUUACUGGGCGUAAAGGGCUCGUAGGCGGUUUGUCGCGUCGGGAGUGAAAACAUCGGGCUUAACUCGAUGCUUGCUUUCGAUACGGGCAGACUUGAGGUAUGCAGGGGAGAAUGGAAUUCCUGGUGUAGCGGUGAAAUGCGUAGAUAUCGACAGGAACGCCGGUGGCGAAAGCGGACCGCUGGCCCUCUUCUGACGCUGAGGCGCGAAAGCCAGGGGAGCGAACGGG
rnacentral:rRNA from 1 species